AAGUCGUAACAAGGUUUCCGUAGGUGAACCUGCGGAAGGAUCAUUAAAAAACGAUCACCGGUGUACCCAAGCGACGUCGAUUACUCGACCUUGUGGGGCUGUCCUAAACUCACAGCAUUACCAGUCGCGCGGGAUACUGAUGCCCUAGCCCUCGAGCUAGGGGCCGAGUGAAUCCCACCCGUGUCUACAUACUUUUGUUGCUUUGGCGGGCCGUGGCCUCCACUGUGGGCUCUGCCUGCAUGUGCCCGCCAGAGGAUCAAACUCUGAAUUUUAGUGAUGUCUGAGUACUAUAUAAUAGUUAAAACUUUCAACAACGGAUCUCUUGGUUCUG
rnacentral:misc_RNA from 1 species